GAAAGCAAGGAAACUUACAACAAAGAGUCCCUCCCGACUGUUUACCAAAAACACAGCACUCUGCUAACUCGUAAGAGGAUGUAUAGGGUGUGACGCCUGCCCGGUGCUCGAAGGUUAAUUGAUGGGGUUAGCAUUAGCGAAGCUCUUGAUCGAAGCCCGAGUAAACGGCGGCCGUAACUAUAACGGUCCUAAGGUAGCGAAAUUCCUUGUCGGUUAAAUACCGACCUGCAUGAAUGGCGUAACGAGAUGGGAGCUGUCUCAAAGAGGGAUCCAGUGAAAUUGUAGUGGAGGUGAAAAUUCCUCCUACCCGCGGCAAGACGGAAAGACCCCGUGGACCUUUACUACAGCUUGACACUGCUACUUGGAUAAGAAUGUGCAGGAUAGGUGGGAGGCUUUGAGUAUAUGACGCCAGUUGUAUAUGAGCCAUUGUUGAGAUACCACUCUUUCUUAUUUGGGUAGCUAACCAGCUUGAGUUAUCCUCAAGUGGGACAAUGUCUGGUGGGUAGUUUGACUGGGGCGGUCGCCUCCCAAAUAAUAACGGAGGCUUACAAAGGUUGGCUCAGAACGGUUGGAAAUCGUUCGUAGAGUAUAAAGGUAUAAGCCAGCUUAACUGCAAGACAUACAAGUCAAGCAGAGACGAAAGUCGGUCUUAGUGAUCCGGUGGUUCUGUGUGGAAGGGCCAUCGCUCAAAGGAUAAAAGGUACCCCGGGGAUAACAGGCUGAUCUCCCCCAAGAGCUCACAUCGACGGGGAGGUUUGGCACCUCGAUGUCGGCUCAUCGCAUCCUGGGGCUGGAGCAGGUCCCAAGGGUAUGGCUGUUCGCCAUUUAAAGCGGUACGCGAGCUGGGUUCAGAACGUCGUGAGACAGUUCGGUCCCUAUCUGCCGUGGGCGUAAGAAGAUUGAAGAGAUUUGACCCUAGUACGAGAGGACCGGGUUGAACAAACCACUGGUGUAGCUGUUGUUCUGCCAAGAGCAUCGCAGCGUAGCUAAGUUUGGAAAGGAUAAACGCUGAAAGCAUCUAAGCGUGAAGCCAACUCUAAGAUGAAUCUUCUCUAAGCUCUCUAGAAGACUACUAGUUUGAUAGGCUGGGUGUGUAAUGGAUGAAAGUCCUUUAGCUGACCAGUACUAAUAGAGCGUUUGGCUUAUCUUUAAUAAAGCAU
rnacentral:rRNA from 1 species